UACAGUAUGGGACACAUUUUUAGAAUUUCAUCUUGCUUAUGCACAGUAGGGCAAUCUGGUUGGAAAUAAGUCAAACCUUCUAGUUAUGAAGGUUCUAGUUACGAUUUCCGCCUUCUCUGACCGCAGUGACUGCUGGGAAAAUUUCUAUCACGCGCUUCGACUAAUAGGUAUCUUUUGACAGAUAGUUUUUUACAGAAACUUCAAAAGUCACCCAAACGAGGAAAGCUUUGGAGUUUCCAGGGACCAUGGAUUCAGAGACCCUUGCCCUCCUUGAUACGACCUUUUGGACCCUCAGGGACUAGGCAGUGGAGGCAAGAGUGCAGUUAACGUACGGAGUUAUAUUACUUCCAAGUGUAUAACACAGUGAUUCAACAGUUCCAUACGUGAUUCUGUGCUCCUCAUGGCCCUGCUCAAACGCUCUGCCUUCUUGAGACGUUACUAAAGCGGCCAAGGGAAGCCGAAGAGGAAUCAGCGACCCCACAUUUCAACUCGGAGUGCUUGUCGACCCCAGUCGGUCAGCAUGGUGGCCUGCCUGUGCCCUGUGCUCUCCCAGCAUCCCCCUGGCUGCAUCCCUUAGUGCUGCUUCUGUUUGGGUCACAUGACUGUCCCUAACACAACCGCUUCUUCCACCCCAUCCCCCCCACCCCAAACCCCAGCUCCCGGACAGAGUCAGUUGCGGCACGGACCGUCCCCUCUUCCGUCCCCUCUUCCGUCCCCCACUCGCCUGACUCCAGUUCCAAGCCCACUCCUCUGUCUUCAUUUAAUGAGGUUUAUUGUUUGUGCUUAGUACUUCUCAAAGCCCCGUCACCCUCUCUGCAUUUGCUUUUAGAUCUUCAGCCUGCCAGAGAGGUGGGCUUUUGAAGCUGCCUUCUUUAAUUCAGUACCUGGCUUCUGCAUUUAACGGCACAUGGGUUUGAAGUAUACAUAAACCACAGUGGAAACAUCUGAGAAGCAUCCCGAGACACCGCAAAUUAUAAAGGGCGAUUAAGAAAUAGUGUGGUACUCUAGCUCCUCGUGCCUUAGAACUUGAUUCUUUGUAUCAAAAAGAUGCAGGGAUAUCAAAAUAUCACUGUCUGACUCUGAUAAUGACUUCCUGGAGUUUCAUACAUUUGUGGAACAAAGAUAUAAUUUUAAUUAUCAGCAGCUCCAUUUAAAAAAA